UACGAAGGGGGGCUAGCGUUGCUCGGAAUCACUGGGCGUAAAGGGUGCGUAGGCGGGUCUUUUAAGUCAGGGGUGAAAUCCUGGAGCUCAACUCCAGAACUGCCUUUGAUACUGAAGAUCUUGAGUUCGGGAGAGGUGAGUGGGAACUGCGAGUGUAGAGGUGAAAUUCGUAGAUAUUCGCAAGAACACCAGUGGCGAAGGCGGCUCACUGGCCCGAUACUGACGCUGAGGCACGAAAGCGUGGGGAGCAAACAGG
rnacentral:rRNA from 1 species